CGCGUAGGUGGUUUGUUAAGUUGGAUGUGAAAGCCCCGGGCUCAACCUGGGAACUGCAUCCAAAACUGGCAAGCUAGAGUACGGUAGAGGGUGGUGGAAUUUCCUGUGUAGCGGUGAAAUGCGUAGAUAUAGGAAGGAACACCAGUGGCGAGGGCGACCACCUGGACUGAUACUGACACUGAGGUGCGAAAGCGUGGGGAGCAAACA
rnacentral:rRNA from 1 species